rnacentral:lncRNA from 10 species
GCCUGAGCCAGUAGUGGCAACCCGCUUGAGUCAGCUUCUGCAUUGUGGAAGGUUUGUUCUUUCUCUCUUUGCAGUAAAUCUUACUGCUGCUCACUUUUUGGGUCCACACUGCGUUUAUUAGCUGCAACGCUCACCGCUAUGGUCUGCAGCUUCACUCCUGAAGCCAGCGAGACCACGAACCCACCAGAAUGAAGAAACUCCGAACACAUCCAAACAUCAGAAGGAACAAACUCCGGACAGGCGGCCUUUAAGAACUGUAACACUCACCUCGAGGGUCUGCGGCUUCAUUCUUGAAGUCAGUGAGACCAAGAACCCACCAAUUCCGGACACAAUGUUACUCCAGAUAAUCAGCGCCAUUUUCUGAAGCUUGAGAUGCAGGAAAAGAGGAGUGCUAUCCAUUAGAUGGAGACAGGAAGUAGAAAAAGAGCUUAAAGUUUUGGCUUGUGUUACUUCCUUGGGGAGAUCUUGCUGGACCACAUCAGGAAUAGGAGGGGUGUGUCCCCACAGCACUGUGUACACGGAACCCCAAGGAGCAUGAGGACAUCCUGAACAGAGGCCACCUCAGGAGAGCUGAAGGAGCAGGAGAGCAGCCCUGGUGCACCCUGCCCAGGCUCAACUCCUCCCGCAGAACUAAGCCAGGGCUGAGAAGUUCCUUGAAAGAGGCUGCUCUUUGGAAGCCUUGCACAUUUCUGAAGGCUGCCAAGAGAGUGUGUGGCUGAAACCAGAGUGAGGACCCAUGCUUCCUUGAGGUGGAGCCCAGGCACUUGGGCAAACAGCUGAUAGGAGUUCAUUUUGUGAAGCUGUCACGAGUUUUCCAGUAGACCAUGAGCUUGCUGAUGGCAGGAGCCUGCCUGUCCUUGAUCCUUGUUUCUGUGGGGUCUAUCCCAGUGCCUGGCACAGUGGCUUUGGAGAUGGAAGGAAUAGAGGGAGCCCAACAUCAAGGUGGAGCCUGUUGUUGUUCAUAUCCGGUGGAUGGAGAAACUAAGGAAACAGAUGCUUUGAGAGUCUAACUCUCCCAAAUGCACACAGCCAUUGUGUGAGAAGCCAGCACCUGACUCCAGAACAGUGUCUCUCCCAAGCUCUCACUCUGCAGGUCCGUGAUCCAGACUCAAAGUAAUUGGGAUCAUGUGGGACACCUGGAAGUCACAACUCCCUAUGAUUUGGAUGCAGAUCCCACCUCUCUGGAUCCUGCCCAUCUGUAGAUAGCAAUUGUACUUCUCUAGAAGAAGGUUCCAGUUCUCAUCCCUGCCCACCAGCAUGGCCACCUAUGAACCUGUGAAAACUCUUGGUCGGGGACAGGGCCUGGUGACUGCAAGUUGCUCACUCAGUCUGGCAAAGACAUGAUUUUUUCUGUGUUCUCUGACAAGUCCAGGCUGGCCUGCCUGGGUGUUGCCAUCCCUGUGGCAUCUGCCGGGGACAUCCCAGUUCUAUCUUCUUGUGCUUACUGCUCUUUCUGACUUUGGUUCUGAAUGACCCUGUAAAGGUGUCUGUGUGGGUUUAUGUGGAGAUAGAAUAUAUGGAAAAUGAUGCAGCCCUAGGCCACAACAAAGGCGAAACUCAGCCUCUGCCUUCUUCUCUGACCAAUAACUCGACCUUCCCCAGCCCCAGCUCUUCCCAUAGCACUUUUAAGAGCAGAUCCUCAAACACAGCCUGCAUCUCUCCCUGCUCCCCUCCCACCCUCCAGUUUUCCAGCCAGAGGCAUUUGCUCUAAGGCCCAGGCUGUGGCCCACCUAUCACCGCUACCCAAGUAGUACAGGAAAAGGAAAUUUGAAGAGGAAAAGAGGCACCAGGGAUGAGGACACACCGAGAAAAGACCAUGUGAAGACAUGGCGAGAAGACAGCCAGCUGCAAGCCAAGGAGUGAGGCCUCAGAAGAAACCAACCCUGCCGACACCUUGACCUUGGACUUCUAGUCUCUAGAAUUAUGCGAAAAUAAAUUCCUGUUGUUUAAGCCACCCACUCUGUAGUAUUUUGUUAUGGCAGCCCCAAGCAAACUAAUACAGUAUCCUUGAAGAAAGAAGAAUUAUAAAACCUAACAGUUAAGGGGCAGUUAAUUGACAUAUUAAUAAUUCAUUUAGUCUUCUCUUCACAGAAACUCUCUAUAGGAGUUAUUACCAUUUAUCACCAUUUUACAGAGGAGAAAACUGAGGCACAAGAGGUCAAGUAACCUGCUUCAAAGUCAUAACUAGUAAGUGACAGAGGCAGUUUCUUCACUCUCAGUCCUCUAAAAAGCAAAGCCCAAGGUUAAAGUGCUGACAUUUAGU